GACGAACGCUGGCGGCGUGCUUAACACAUGCAAGUCGAACGGAAAGGCCCUGCUUUUGUGGGGUGCUCGAGUGGCGAACGGGUGAGUAACACGUGAGUAACCUGCCCUUGACUUUGGGAUAACUUCAGGAAACUGGGGCUAAUACCGGAUAGGAGCUCCUGCUGCAUGGUGGGGGUUGGAAAGUUUGGGCGGUUGGGGAUGGACUCGCGGCUUAUCAGCUUGUUGGUGGGGUAGUGGCUUACCAAGGCUUUGACGGGUAGCCGGCCUGAGAGGGUGACCGGCCACAUUGGGACUGAGAUACGGCCCAGACGCCUACGGGAGGCAGCAGUGGGGAAUAUUGCACAAUGGGCGGAAGCCUGAUGCAGCAACGCCGCGUGCGGGAUGACGGCCUUCGGGUUGUAAACCGCUUUCGCCUGUGACGAAGCGUGAGUGACGGUAAUGGGUAAAGAAGCACCGGCUAACUACGUG
rnacentral:rRNA from 1 species